UCAAAAUUUUAACUAAGUAUGUGUCCUUUCCAGAUCUGUGUAAAUUUUGAGGUCAACCGGACCUCCUUUUGCAAGGACUGUUACUAAAAAUAGACAUUGCCUCGUGAAAUUACAGAAAUGCAGUAAUUACAAUAUUUAUGCUAGCUUUUUAAAAUUAAAUGUAAAUGAAAAACUUAAACAUAUGAAUUAUAGAGAAGAUAUGCUUGUUUAACGGUUUUAUUAAUUUUUUAAUCUGCUGAUCCACUUUAUUGUACUUUUUAUGGCGAAUUAAACAUAUUUAUCUCAAAAUUAUGAAAUUUCUGUUUGAUA